UACGGAGGGAGCGAGCGUUGUUCGGAAUCACUGGGCGUAAAGGGCGCGCAGGCGGACCGAUAAGUCGGGUGUGAAACCCCAGGGCUUAACCCUGGGCCUGCACUUGAAACUAUCGGUCUUGAGUACGGGAGAGGAAAGCGGAAUCCCAAGUGUAGCGGUGAAAUGCGUAGAUAUUUGGGAGAACACCGGUGGCGAAGGCGGCUUUCUGGCCCGAUACUGACGCUCAGGCGCGAAGGCUAGGGGAGCAAACAGGAUUAGAUACCCCCGUA
rnacentral:rRNA from 1 species